rnacentral:rRNA from 1 species
GAGCGGAAAGGCCCUUCGGGGUACUCGAGCGGCGAACGGGUGAGUAACACGUGAGCAACCUGCCCCUAGCUCUGGGAUAGCUCCGGGAAACCGGGAUUAAUACCGGAUAUGACCACUUUAGACAUCUGCUGUGGUGGAAAGGAUUCCGGCUAGGGAUGGGCUCGCGGCCUAUCAGCUUGUUGGUGGGGUAACGGCCUACCAAGGCGACGACGGGUAGCCGGCCUGAGAGGGCGACCGGCCACACUGGGACUGAGACACGGCCCAGACUCCUACGGGAGGCAGCAGUGGGGAAUAUUGCGCAAUGGGCGAAAGCCUGACGCAGCGACGCCGCGUGGGGGAUGAAGGCCUUCGGGUUGUAAACCCCUUUCAGCAGGGACGAAGCGAAAGUGACGGUACCUGCAGAAGAAGCGCCGGCUAACUACGUG